CCCGGAAGUACUUUUUUAUUUUUGUUGACGAGAUGCAGAUGUCAUCUUGUUGAAUGAAAUAGUUAGCUAGUGAACUAAAAUGUGACAGCAUCUACUGCGUAAUCAUAACGUUAUAUUUGUCUAAAUGUAGGCUUUUAAAUCUCAGGGAAAAUGUCACGUUUAAAGGAUCAACUGGCCACCGUCAUGAGGCUUUUAGUAAAUGCAGCCGUGGUGGAAAUAAGUAAAUUGUUGGACGAGUGCACGAGUCAAAACGUUUACACCGAGUCACAGAGGCAGAGCACUGGCUCUGGGACUGAGCUGUCUGCCACCAUGAAGAGAUUGUGCAGAGAGGCCAUGCAAAAAAUCAUUAGUCUCAUAGAUGAGGAUACAGCUUCUCUGCGUCUGCAAGUGUCUGUGUGUCAGAGAGAUAAUCAGGUUCUGAAGGAGAAUCUCCAGUUGAUGGAUGGGGACCUGAGGACGACUAGAGGGCUUGGAGAGGUGGGUGCAGAGGACAGGAAGACCCAAGGAAAAGACCUGACUAAAAUUGUGCGCUUGUCUGAAGUCAACAGUGGCAUGGUAAGCUCCCAUAUAUCCAUAUCACUGGUCACCAAUAUCUUGAAUAUGAAUAGGAUGCAAAUGAGUUGCUAUACUUUCCACUGAUUUAUUAUUUCACGUCUAGUCUUCAGAGACGGAGGAGGAAUGUGCUGAAUGGAUCACGUUGAAGGAGGGUACCCUGCAACAGGACGCCCAGACAGGACACACACGUGAGGACACAGGUAAGUAGUUAUGAAGUCACCUUUCAAUACGUUCAGAAUGGUCUGAAUGUAGUCUACUGACUGCAUUACAUCUUAUAUUCACAACUUAGAAAGUUUAAAUGAAUUAAUAUUGAAUAUCUACUGCCCAGAUGGAGAAUCCAGGACAGAGGCUGGGGAGGAUGCUACUAUUGAACACAACUUGGAGGAGGAGAUUACUACACCACUCUCACCAGCAAAGGCCCAAGAUGACCAAGACUUAGAGCCUGCUGCGCCCACAG
rnacentral:lncRNA from 1 species